rnacentral:lncRNA from 1 species
UUGGUGUGGGGGCAGUUUUUAUGUUCUAUAAUACAAAGCAUACUAAAUGGAAUAAAUGGAAAUUUAGAGUCACAGUUAAACAUUCGACUUAUGUCUUCUCUUUUAAGCAUUUUAAACUACCUCUAUUAUAUUGAUUUUUAGAAGAAUUGUUUUCUAAAGAAAACUGCUUCCUGAUGUUGGCGCAGGAUAUAAAGAAUAGGAUUUCCCAGAAGAAGAGACAUUUUUAUCCCAGUAAUCCUGCUGUGUUUAGUCAUUCCUCCCAAUGCCAGUGAUCCCUUAAAUCUGGGUGUUGUCCAUCAUCAUCCCUGCCCGUCUCCGUGCAUCCACAACUGCCACAUCCUGAGAGCUCAGUCCAUCAUAAAUGCAAUUAUAGCCUUUUACCUCCUCCUCACCAGAUACUCUCUACAGGGCAAGUUCAUCAAACUGUGUGCUUAGAAGCUCUGGAGCAGAACUCUCACCCACCAGAAGAUUGCCUCAAGAGAUAAAAGAUGAUUUACAACCCAAAGUAUGCCCACUAGAGGUUUUGGCCAUUUUUACAAUGUAUUCCUGCCCAUGAAGAUGCCAACUUGACUGCCCAAUACAUAAAGCACCAAAGCAAGUAUGCGGACCCCCCCACACCUCCUCACUUCUGCUCCUGUGUAGACCCCCAUCUUUAAAAGCACUUACUUUCUCCUGCAAAAGCAAAUCAGACCCUUACAGCAGGAAGGCUUUUCUUCUUCUCCUAAACUAGCUUUGGAAUAAAAAGUUAUUUUCUUUA